rnacentral:tRNA from 1 species
GCGGGAAUAGCUCAGUUGGUAGAGCACGACCUUGCCAAGGUCGGGGUCGGGAGUUCGAGCCUCCUUUCCCGCUCCA